rnacentral:lncRNA from 1 species
UAAGAUACAAUAUUGUAUACCAUGGUUUUGUUUGUGAUUGUGUUAUUGGAAUAAACACGUGCCCCCCAAUUAAUAAUAAAUCGAGAGGAGGUGAAAUAGAUAAAAGAGUCUGUAAAAUUUUCAACUGUAUUUCAUUUUAGUUCUAAUUUGACAUUAAUAAUCAAAACAAAAUAAUCACAACAAAUAAAUAUAAAAUAAAAUGUGGUACAAAAUUUCAGAUCUAUGAGCUGAAAGAUGGACGGAACAUGUUUAAUUGAACAUGUGACAGAUGAAUGGAUUUUUCUUCAAUAUCAUCACAAUAAGGAUUCACAAUGACAUGAAUAUACAUUAAACAUUGAUGACAUAAGCAUUGAAAUCAACACUACAAAUACCCAAAAUAAACAAAUACAAUUUAACAAAGUAUUAAGUGCCUAAAAACGAAUGUACUUCUUUUAAUUAUUUUGGCCCCAGUUCAUUGAUAAAUAAAAUGUAUGAUAAAACUACUGAUCAGAUGUACAGAUCAGCUGUGGCUUGCUGACGUUUCACUGUAUUGUAAUCAAAUAAAUGUCAAAGCGGAGAUUCUCUAGAUUUUAUCAAUAAAAUUGGCUAAUCUAAGGGACCUAAUCUUAGGGACAAUUUGUUUAAAUCCAGAUAAAUAACAGCACUGUAUAUGCUUACAAUUACAAAAUGUGAUUAUACCAAAGGAAGGGUAAAAUGGUUAAUUACUGUCCUUUCAUCCUAGGAAAUUUUAGUACAUUGUUAACCGAACUACAGAACAGAUCUACCUGAAGCUUAAUAUCAAGCUUCAUGUGAGAAUUCUAUAUGCUGUGAUGCAUUUUUACAUCCAUAGCUCAUCACCUUAUACAUAUAAUGAGGAUAUCAUAAAUUAGCAAUCAAAACCUAAAUAAUAAUGGCAAUCAAAAUCUAAAUAAUAGUGGUAAGUAGAAAUGUUCUGACACUGUAUCAGGUUUUUUGGCAUAAGUAAAUACAAGAGUGCACACGCUGAAAUGUCUUGCCUCCUUUACUAAUCAUUGAUAUUAUGUUGAUAGUCCUGAAUAUUAAGCUUUAUAACAACUGUCACAUAAACUUAACAUUACCCAAGAAAACUAAACAUUGACCAUUGAACCAUAUGAAAAUGAGGUCAAGGUCAGAUGGACAAUGCCAGGUAGAUAUGAAUAGUUAACAAUUCUUCAUUACAACAAAUAUAGUUGACAAAUUGCUUAUAGAUUAAAAUAACAGACCAAAACACAAAAACUUAACACUGAGCAAUGAACCGUGAAAAGGAGGUCAAGGGCAAAUAAAACUUGUGCAACUGACAUAUAGAUCAUUAAAUAUUUCCAUACAUCAAAUAUAGUUGACCUAUUGCAUAUAGAAUUGGAAAAAAAACCCAAACUCAAAAACUUAACUUUGACCACUGAACCAUGAAAAUGAGGUCAAGGUCAGAUGACAUCUGCCAGCUAGACAUGUACACCUUACAGUCCUUCCAUACCAUAAAAAGACCUAUUGCUUAUAGUAUCUGAGUUAUGGACUUGACCACCAAAACUUAACCUGGUUCACUGAUCCAUGAAGUGAGGUCAAGGUCAAGUGAACACUGUCUGAUGUGCAUGAGGACCUUGCAAGAUAUGCACAUACCAAAUAUAGUUAUCCU